rnacentral:rRNA from 1 species
CUUAAGUUUGGACCUGGCUCAGGACGAACGCUGGCGGCGUGCCUAAUACAUGCAAGUCGAGCGGACUUGUAGGAGCUUGCUCCUGCAGGUUAGCGGCGGACGGGUGAGUAACACGUGGGCAACCUACCUAUAAGACUGGGAUAACUUCGGGAAACCGGAGCUUAAUACCGGAUGACAUAAAGGAACUCCUGUUCCUUUAUUGAAAGAUGGCUUCGGCUAUCACUUACAGAUGGGCCCGCGGCGCAUUAGCUAGUUGGUGAGGUAACGGCUCACCAAGGCGACGAUGCGUAGCCGACCUGAGAGGGUGAUCGGCCACACUGGGACUGAGACACGGCCCAGACUCCUACGGGAGGCAGCAGUAGGGAAUCUUCCGCAAUGGACGAAAGUCUGACGGAGCAACGCCGCGUGAACGAUGAAGGCCUUCGGGUCGUAAAGUUCUGUUGUUAGGGAAGAACAAGUGCUAGUUAAAUAAGCUGGCACCUUGACGGUACCUAACCAGAAAGCCACGGCAAC